UGGCUCAGGAUGAACGCUAGCUACAGGCUUAACACAUGCAAGUCGAGGGGCAGCAUGGGUAGCAAUACUCAGAUGGCGACCGGCGCACGGGUGAGUAACACGUAUCCAACCUGCCGCUUACUCGGGGAUAGCCUUUCGAAAGAAAGAUUAAUACCCGAUGGUAUAAAGAGUUCGCAUGUUCUCUUUAUUAAAGAAUUUCGGUAAGCGAUGGGGAUGCGUUCCAUUAGAUAGUUGGCGGGGUAACGGCCCACCAAGUCUACGAUGGAUAGGGGUUCUGAGAGGAAGGUCCCCCACAUUGGAACUGAGACACGGUCCAAACUCCUACGGGAGGCAGCAGUGAGGAAUAUUGGUCAAUGGACGAGAGUCUGAACCAGCCAAGUAGCGUGAAGGAUGACUGCCCUAUGGGUUGUAAACUUCUUUUAUAAGGGAAUAAAGUGAGGGACGUGUCCCUUUUUGUAUGUACCUUAUGAAUAAGGAUCGGCUAACUCCGUGCCAGCAGCAGC
rnacentral:rRNA from 1 species